AACGCUGGCGGCGUGCUUAACACAUGCAAGUCGAACGGAAAGGCCCUGCUUUUGUGGGGUGCUCGAGUGGCGAACGGGUGAGUAACACGUGAGUAACCUGCCCUUGACUUUGGGAUAACUUCAGGAAACUGGGGCUAAUACCGGAUAGGAGCUCCUGCUGCAUGGUGGGGGUUGGAAAGUUUCGGCGGUUGGGGAUGGACUCGCGGCUUAUCAGCUUGUUGGUGGGGUAGUGGCUUACCAAGGCUUUGACGGGUAGCCGGCCUGAGAGGGUGACCGGCCACAUUGGGACUGAGAUACGGCCCAGACUCCUACGGGAGGCAGCAGUGGGGAAUAUUGCACAAUGGGCGGAAGCCUGAUGCAGCAACGCCGCGUGCGGGAUGACGGCCUUCGGGUUGUAAACCGCUUUCGCCUGUGACGAAGCGUGAGUGACGGUAAUGGGUAAAGAAGCACCGGCUAACUACGUGCCAGCAGCCGCGGUGAUACGUAGGGUGCGAGCGUUGUCCGGAUUUAUUGGGCGUAAAGGGCUCGUAGGUGGUUGAUCGCGUCGGAAGUGUAAUCUUGGGGCUUAACCCUGAGCGUGCUUUCGAUACGGGUUGACUUGAGGAAGGUAGGGGAGAAUGGAAUUCCUGGUGGAGCGGUGGAAUGCGCAGAUAUCAGGAGGAACACCAGUGGCGAAGGCGGUUCUCUGGGCCUUUCCUGACGCUGAGGAGCGAAAGCGUGGGGAGCGAACAGGCUUAGAUACCCUGGUAGUCCACGCUGUAAACGGUGGGUACUAGGUGUGGGGUCCAUUCCACGGGUUCCGUGCCGUAGCUAACGCUUUAAGUACCCCGCCUGGGGAGUACGGCCGCAAGGCUAAAACUCAAAGGAAUUGACGGGGCCCCGCACAAGCGGCGGAGCAUGCGGAUUAAUUCGAUGCAACGCGUAGAACCUUACCUGGGUUUGACAUGGAUCGGGAGUGCUCAGAGAUGGGUGUGCCUCUUUUGGGGUCGGUUCACAGGUGGUGCAUGGCUGUCGUCAGCUCGUGUCGUGAGAUGUUGGGUUAAGUCCCGCAACGAGCGCAACCCUUGUUCACUGUUGCCAGCACGUUAUGGUGGGGACUCAGUGGAGACCGCCGGGGUCAACUCGGAGGAAGGUGGGGACGACGUCAAGUCAUCAUGCCCCUUAUGUCCAGGGCUUCACGCAUGCUACAAUGGCUGGUACAGAGAGUGGCGAGCCUGUGAGGGUGAGCGAAUCUCGGAAAGCCGGUCUCAGUUCGGAUUGGGGUCUGCAACUCGACCUCAUGAAGUCGGAGUCGCUAGUAAUCGCAGAUCAGCAACGCUGCGGUGAAUACGUUCCCGGGGCUUGUACACACCGCCCGUCAAGUCAUGAAAGUUGGUAACACCCGAAGCCGGUGGCCUAACCGUUGGGGGGGAGCCGUCGAAGGUGGGACUGGUGAUUAGGACUAA
rnacentral:rRNA from 1 species